rnacentral:lncRNA from 1 species
AGCCAGGUCUUGAUUGUUUAUUCCAUUUUGUUAGUUUAAGUACUAGAAUGGGAGUUACGGAUAUUAAUUCCUAAAAUAUGUCACCGAUUGGUGACCUGAUCCCGCUAAGCAAGAACAGCUACCGACACCAACUCUAUCUUACCGACCGGUAAAGCCCUCUCUGACGGAUAUGGCACUUCACUGCUCGGAGAGGAAUGAAUUCUUCUCCAAAUCAUCUCUUCCUUUAUUGUUGUUAAGAAAGAAGUCAAUUACGUUCGAGCUUUUUGUCAACUGAUUCCACUCAAGCAAUAGAAAGAAAGGCUAUCUCCUCUAAUCUCUAACUAUGCUGAGUUCAAUCAAGCGUCGAACUAGUCGACCUCCUUACUUUUUUACCGCUCCUUUCCCUCACCCUCAAGUCACGACCUAAUGUAAGUUCUUUCAGUCCUUUUCGAGCUAGUAUAGCAGCUGAUAUGGAAUAGCCCUUCUCUAGCCUGGAGCCUAGAAAAGAAGAGUACGAUCUACGAUACGCCAUAACCAUCCACCCUAUCCCGAGCCUCAUUUCCUAAGCGGGCUCAUAGUCCAAGCCUCUUGAUCCGAGGAAGGGGAACCCCAUCGUGCUGGCUUGGCAUGGAAGGACGGCUACCCAAAAAGUCUUUUUCGCAGCUUGGUCCGCGUAAGCUCAAUGCUUAUGGCUUUACCCAGCAUUGCCACUCUUCUUACUAUGUUGUGGGACCGCGAAGACAACCCACCACUGGAACUUGCUUUGCUCUCACUCCGCUCGCUUCCACUAUGUCUUCUUCCCACUAUAGUGAAAGAUCUUUCACCAUAGCAGGAACCUCACUGACCUUCUCAGGCAGUUACUAAUUUUUAGCUGGGGAUCCCUUCCUGCUUAUCCAUCCACCGUAAACGAUUACUAAAGGACUUGGAAUACGAAUGAGAUCAAAAAGGCCAUCAUUGGGGCAAAUGAUGCAAUAGCUUCGGUUAGAGCAAAGCCCAAAAUGGCAUAACCAAAUAAUUGUUUUGCCAAUGAUAGAUUUUGUGCCACGGAAUUAAUCGAGGAACUAAGGACAUUUCCAAUACCGAUAGCAGCUCCCGCUAAAGCAAUUGUAGCAGCUCCUGUACCCAUUGAUUUUGCACCUUCUAACAUCUCAACUUGAGAAUUCUCCUCACGCUUUUUCCAUCACGAUUUUCUCUUCGAGAACACUCGCCUCGUCAAUUAUUCCCCUCGUUACUCUUAUCUUAGAAAUUGAGAUGUUUAUGCAAAGCAUAGGCGUCACAAGCGGUACAGUGAACACCAACCCAAUCUCGAAAAAUAAAGAGAAGUACAAGCAAGGAUAUUUUCUCAAUCAAGAAGGUAUUGAACUUCUCGACGCACCUCUAUCAAUUCCUUUUUUGCCUCAUCUUCUUCUCUUAUGAAAUUUCUUUUGAAAUUGAUUUUUUCAAUAUUCAAUAUUUAUAUUGACAAUAGUGUAUCGAACAAAUAGAAUUCAUUGUGAUAAAUGAAGUGGAUCUAUUUCGUUUUCUUUCUAUUGAUUGAGACCUAGCCUCUCUCCUUUGGUUCGUAGCCUUGGGUUAUACACUUUUCCUUAAGGCAGAGGUUUUGCCCACUUCAAAAACAUGUACUCCGUCGAAGGCAAAGAGGUUUUCAGCAACCCUAGAGGUAGUUCAACUUGAAGACUCUCUUUUUCUCUAUACGGAAUUCCUAGGAGUCCACAAAAGAAGGCAGUACCAAAUAACCUAGAAUAAGGAAGUUUUAUACCUACUCAAGGGAACUACCAAAGAAGUAAUAUAUCCAGUCACCUGGUCUUUAGGAUUCUUACGAUAGCAGGCGAGACUAAGCAGAAAUACAAAGUCUAGGUAAUUCUUUAUCCACUCUGCCUAAGGAAGGUAAAUUAGCGGCAUCUCCUUCGAGAAGAGCUCAUAUUCUUUCAGUAAUACUAUGAGAUAGAUUAGGAAAGACUUCAUUUUUUGGGUCAAGGUUUGCAUUUAGUUGAGGUAGAAGUUCGUUAGCAAGUGGAAAGUUAAAAAGGGGGUCAUUCUCUUCUAAUUGAACUUCCCCCCGCUUACUUGAAUUCCUUCUAAUUCAAGGGUUAUAGGUGCAUCCCCAUUUCCCUCUUCGGCCUCUCUCUCUUCGAGUCGUCUUCACUUUUUUAAUCCUACUGCUUUUCUCCCUCUAUAUAGCACAGGUAGCUUGCUUCCAAGCCACUGGCAGGAACCAGAUAAGGAACAAGAGAGAGAAGCAGCUCAAUUUCAAAGGUUAGGCGCGAUAGCCACUCAUGCAGAAGGAGAUGUUUGGGAUAAAAGCCCCAUCUCAUGGUGCUUUUGUUAAGAGUUCCCCCUCUUCGACAUAUUUUACUGUGGAAACCCUGAUGGAGAAGAUUGUUGGCCCCUUCUCUGCUGGUUCUCUCAGACUAGCAUCAACAAAUGUUAAGGUUAACCUAAUAGUCAGGUUUCAUUACUUCCAAAAUCCUGGUGAUGGAUGUGGAGAGGUGUGUGAACAGAAAGAUUCAUUAUGUACAACAAAGCCGCUCCAUGUAGGAAUUCAAGUACCAACAAGAGUUUGGUCCUAUAUAUUUCAGGUAUGUUGGACCUUCAUUACCUGCUGAUCUAUCCAAUGAUUUUUUGAUGGGAUAGUUCUGUCGUUGUGACCACAAUAUCGCAUUACCAUGGCGGCUGCCUUAUUGGGAAAGUGGUUGAUAGGAACUUAAGACUUUUUGGGGCACUCAUAGUUGUUGAUGGUUCAACCUUUACCAUGUCACCGGGCACCAAUCCGCAGGCUACUCUGUUGAUGCUUGGCCGGUAAGUGCUUUAAUAUGCGUUGGAUAUUGUACAAAAGUGCGAUUGCAACUAAUCGGGAGCUUGCGUAUGUAAACGAAAGAGUAUACAUCCCCCUUGAUAACUGAAUGCAAGCGAGGCUAGACCUAGAUUCGCAUAUGUAAGUGAAAACAAAAAGAAAGAAGAAGCGGAACUCCUUUCUUGUCUAGAAAGGGGAAGAGGAGCUCAAACAAGGUUCAAAGAUCCCCUCCCCAAAGUAUGGUUUAAAGAAAGCCUUUCAGGUUAGUGAGGAACAUGAUAGUGAAAGAGAAAAAAAAGGAAAUCCGUUUAUGGCGGCUUACCUUCGUACAUUCAAGAACAGUUAUGACUCCUUGGCAUCUAUCAAUGCACCGGUGUCCCAAUCUGAUAUGUUUACAUUCCUUCUUGCUGGCCUGCCUUCGGAGUAUGAAAGCUUUGUCACUACGGCGAAGCUUCAACGACCAAAACCAACUAUGGCUGAGCUUCGUUCUUGUUGUUACAUGAGUCUUGGCUUCAGCAGAUGCAUCCUAUUACUAUGUUCAUGAUCUUGUAUACUAAUCGAGUUCGCACUCGCCCUAGAACACGUACGUCCUCCCUGUAAUUGUCUUGUCUUUGUUAUGGUUUCAGGGCCUACGUCUACCCGUAUGGAGCCACCAUCAUUUGCAAGGCUUGCUUUACAUUGGACCCGAUGUUCAGCCUCUUAGACAAGAUGAAAUUGAGGAUUUGUAUUAUACCCAGGCAUUCAUUCCUGGACUUUACAAGUUACAAGUUAUCCCCACAUGGAGUCCACCCAAGGGAGAAAUCCAAUCCAAUGGGUCACUAGGACUGGGCUUGACAUUAAAGAUAGAGAAAAGCAUAUAAGCGCAAAAAAGGAAAAUUGCCUGGGAAAACAAUCCCAAGGGAAGCUUCUCGCUAGUGCUUUGCCCCACCACUGAACAUUGCAUUGCUAUGGUCAAUAAACAGCCUUAAAGUGGUUCUGAAUGACCUUGAGGAGGCCCUGGUGCAGUACCUUUGUCGCUCGAAGGAUCUAUGAAAAGAAUGUCCCACUACGAAUUCCUAUCCCAUUAAUAAAGUACAGAUAAAUAAUAUAUUCCAAGUCUGACUUUUAAAGCAUACGCAUUGAAAAAAACCUUUGGCUUUGGACUUUCUGCUUUGAUAGAUCUUUCCUCUCAAAAUAGGUUUUACCUAACCCACUAUGUCCUUUGUUUAAUACCCAUUUUUAGGAGCGGGAAUCGUCGAAUUAAAAACCCUUUCUUCUGCCCUCGCCACUUCUUUCACUGACCCUAUCCACCUUAUUUGCAGAAUACCAGAAAAAGAGAUGAAUUAGCGGAUCAUAGGGCUAAGUCGAAGCAUGCUUGAACCUUCUUCGUUAGAGACUGAGUUAAUAUACAAUCCCACUUUGGAGACUUCCCUUCGGGAUAGGUAGGAUAUGGUGCCACAAAUUAUAGUCUACUCGGCAUGGGUGUCCAGGGUAUAUUCCUGCAUUUCAUUCAAAUGGGUUGAACAAUUCAUGUGAUUGUUUACAGUUGGCAAUUGUAUGCUCCUGGAUUAAACAUAAGAAUCCAAUUCUUUCUUUGGAUUGAUUCAUUCGUUAGUGUCGGAUAGCUUAGUAGCACAUUAUGAAUCUGGGAUUACCUGUUAGGUAGAACUAAGAUCUGUUGUUAGCUUCUUUAAGUCUUACCUUCUCUUUCAGCCGAUUCAAUCUCAUCUAUCUUAUUUCGUCGAUUAAGCAGCCCUGGAAUCACUUUACUCUCGUGCAUUUUGAGUAUUGUAUUAAAGUCUAAAAGAUAAUAAGCAUCUUUCUUUUCUUUUCGACGAUAUACUAAGCGCCAAGCCUACCUGUGUUCUGUCAACACCGAUAAUAGAGUAUAUAAUUUUUCUCAAUAUCUUUCUUUAUUCUUUCUGGAUUUUUCUCAAGAAAGGGGAAAUUGAAGACUGAGAACAUAGGAGGUCGGUGGCUAAGAGACUGACUUAAGAAAUUAGGUCGAGUCGAUAUUCGUCGUGCUAUAUAUCAUUCGUGAUCCCCACCUGGGAUUCUUGUGGUUCUGGAGGAUCCAACUACAGGAGAACUAGGAACAGGGGGCUUUUCCCUCUUUCCGCCCGACUCUUUGGUCUUAAGAACGCUGGUUUUAAGAAUGAGUCAUUGCCCUUCUCCGACCCUGACUGCCCAACCUGAGAGUGGACAGCUAAUGCGUUCCACUUAUUGAACAGGGUUCUAUGGUCGGUCCGUGACCCCUGGAUACCGAAGGCAUUCUUGGGGUGAUUUCAUAGUUCCUACGGGGGCCCGGGGAGAAUAGGCCAUUCAACUGGGAGAUUUUGAAAUUGCAGAGGCUUGGUUCAAUCAAGCCAUUGAACCUUUUCGACUAUUAGUAGCGGCUCAUGAAGUAGCCCUCUUUCUUUACGAGCUUACCCGCAGAGAACCACCCCUUUUAAGGACUAUACCUUGCUAGGUGAUGAUAUCCUAAUCACUGAUGCACUUGUGGCACAACAAUAGAGGAUAAUACUGGAUAAACUCGGUGUGACCAUUUCGGAGGCCAAAUCGAUAAUAUCUGAAACUGGUUGCGUCGAGUUUGCCAAGAGAUUCUGGGUCAAGUCAGGGUCUAUCAGCCAGCCGAACCCAUUCAGACCCAAAACUGGCUUGCGCAAAUCACCCUUAGAUAGGGUAGACUUUAUCACGUGCCCUCCCAUUCCAUCUAGGCCAAAUACCUAUUUAAGGUAUUUUCGAUGAUAGCAGUUCCCACCCGAGUAGGGUGACUGAAUAAGAUGCUGCGGAUUUCCCACUUUCGAUGUGAAAGCAUCUGGGGGGAAAACCCAUCCUGCACCAAUGCAGCCUCGACCUUCUUUUCGACCAGAAACUGUUUGUCCAGUACCCAAAGAUAGAUUGGGAGGUGCCUGGCCUCGUUUCUCUCUUGAAAGAAGAACGCUAGCCGGGUCUAAAGCUCUGCUCUCCUUUGCCUAUCCGACCAGACGGACUGGCUGGCCCACUUGUACUUAAUAAAAUCAAAAUCAAGGCAAAUUCCCCUGAUGGGAGUGAACAUAGGGAUUCCCCGACGAACGAAUACAAUACAUGGAAGGCUGGAGGAUGUAGUACUGGACGGCUUUACCUACGACAUUUCCUACUCCUACUUUUCAUACAAAGAGAAUGGGCAGCCUGGAAAACUUGGAAUGAUUACAAAAUGCUUACCGCCUUCGAUUCACAUAGGUGAGUCAACCUACGAGCACGGAAGAGCAUGGUACCGCUACCCCUCUCUAAGUAAAGGUAAGAUUCUUGGGGCAACAAAAUGAUAUCGCUUCCCUUUCAUGAGGCGAGGACGCCGCUAGCCUCAUUGGCAACCUUAUAAACCAGAUAUCUCGGGUUCACUGUCGGAGCACACCGACAGAGAAGGGAACGAAGGCUAUAACAUAGGAAUUAGGUUGCUUGCAAUUCAAGACUUCCCCUUUCUAAAUUUUCUAGUCCAAUCAACAGCCUCUUACUAGGUGAUACUGAGGAGGGCCAGACCCUUUUUUUAUUUCUUUCUUUCUUUACUGUUCAAAGAAGAAGUUUUUUGUUAAGUGUAUACGCACUUUGUAUGAGAAAGAAGGGAUAUAAACAUAAUGGUUGUCUAACGAGAUACUAUGCUAAAGGGGAAUAGGUUGUUUUGCGCAUCCAACAACUGAAAGAGUUUGCGGAGAAGGGUUGAGUUGCGUAAUAGCAGAUUCGUAGGUCAAUAAAUCGUUGGAUUUGAAAUCGAACUCUCUACCUUGGGUGGAUAGGAAUUGAGACUUUCAAUGGUCCGCUCUUCUCUCCUCGUGAUCGAAGCUGACCCCAGAAGUUGGGUAUUCCGGGCUCUUUCUUUCACGCUAACCCCAUUUUCAACAUGCUGAAACUUUCUGUUUCAUUGAGCUCCAAGCUUGUGGUCCUCCUUUGAGUGUGGGUUCAAUUGAAUGCCUCCUUGAAGUGCAAUAAGAAGUAGGCUUGCUGCUACUACCGGUCUGGGUGGACUGGAAGUGCAUAAGUAGUUGCGUCAGCUGUUGAGUUUGGUUCAGAGCCAGGACAUCUUUGGCAUAUCCACUAGCAGCGCCUUUGGCAUGAUAGGCAGGCAGCAUAUCUUGAUCCAUCGGUAGCAGAACCACCGAGGGAAUUGAGUGAAUGACCUUUUCUUGCACUUCUUAUUCAACAGAAUAGUUAACUAGUAGUCUUUAAGUCAGAAAUCGGUUUCAUAUCUCAUAUGACAUCUGUACCAACAGACUUCUUCGGACACCAAUAAGGUAAGUAGCUACUCCAGCCGAUCAAACUCCAGAGGAUCCAGCUUAUUUGUUGGAUAGGUUAGCCCCUUCUCCUUCAGGAGAUGCAGCAAUACUACGUUCUCAUCUGAGUUCUCUUCCUCAAUCCACUCUAAGAAAAAGGCGAGAGAUAGGCUCGUGAGAACUCCCACUCCUCGGUCGAGUAAAGCAUCAAUCAAGUCAUCUCAUAAAAUCUCCCACUCCUCGCAAGGCUAAGAAAGCACUUCGGCUAGGGCGAAUGGUUCUAAAAAAGGAAGCCACAUUCAUUCGAUCUUUGAACCAACUCAACUGAAGGACUCAACGACUGGGGCAAAACAGUUUCCAUCUAUUGGCCUUAGGGGCUGCUUUAAAGAGUACCUGUUCUAGCUAGCAGCCUCUUUUUCCUGAUGAGGAAAUAGCGGCCAAUUAGCUACAUCCUUUAAGCCCAUUAGCGCAAGUCACUCUAUUAGCUCUAUUAGCUACAGGAAGAGGAUAUCGACUUAUUAAAGGGGCGGGCAGCAGUCGGACCUUUUUAUGAACUGAUAGCGCAAACGUUAUGUCGGAAUCAAUCUAGCAUUCCGCUUCGAAAGCUGUCUUUCUAAUGGCUUAUCUAUAUCCAUCGUUGUAGGCUCGACUUUCUUUAUUCUCUUCUAUAAGACAUUUAGUGGUUUUUUCCCUAUCGCAUGCCAUGUUGAAUCGAUAAACAAAAAAGGAAUGAAAGGAGAGGGCUGUAUCGAAUCAUAGAAGAGGGUCUUACCAUCCCUCUUUCCUCGUCGAGACAAAAGCAUAAUGAUAAGCAAUGGAGAUCCAUGAAGCCAUGAUAGAGUUUGCACCAGAUUCAUACAGAAGGACGGAUCGCCUCUCAGAAACUUCUGCCGUCGAGAAGUGCACCCAAGGAAUGCAUUGGGGUCUUGUGUAUAUCCUCUAAGGAAUCAAGCCAUGCACUUUCGAAGAAUUGGCGACUCGACUCCCUCUGUUUUUAUUCCAUCGGGCCAUGGCACAUAUAGAGAACGGUACGAUUCCUGUUAUAAGGACACCUUCGCCAAACCUUCCAGAGGCCAAGAACUCAAAAAUCCGAGGGUUUGACCCUUCGUAAACAUCACAACCGAUGACCUAUAGCCUUUAUUAUAUUAUAGAAACUAUAUGGUAAUUGAAAGACUACAGAAAAAAGUAUAAACGGUCCAGGAAGUUGCAAAGGGAUUUCCGAACAACCCUGCAUACAGGACGUCAGGAUAACAGAUUGCCAAAAAUCCUACUUCUACAAUUGGUAGGUCACCACGAUCACUUGGGGACUUCUUACUCCAGCUGUUCCAAGAGUCUCCGCUAGUUGAACCGUGUCCAGUAGACUCCCUCUUCCGCUCAUCCCCUUCAUCAGCUCUUUGAUCGGGAUACUAUUACCUAGGUUCCUAAAUUUGGAAUGGAUGGCGGAGCGUAGGUGGCAAGCAGUUAUAUGGAUACGGUGCUUUACCCGUAGAUGCUUCUCCAACUCUCGCAAGAAUUGUAUGGGAGUCGCCCUCAGAGGGACUUCCUGAAUGACCGUACCGAGGAAUUCUACCGUACUUCGUGCAGCUAUAGUUGUUAAUCCUGCAGAGUCUACCCAAAGGUUCAAGCCAGAUUAUAGGAAGUGGGCGAUACGUUUUUGUAUUUCUAUGAGAAGCUCGAUGGAACCCACGAGUCCUAGUAGUAAGUCGUCGGCAUAUCGCGCGUAACAAAUCCUUAUUAAGUAAUAGGUUUUUAAGGGGGCCAGCUUACGGGUCAGGCCUCUCUCUGACCUGAUAAUAAGUAUCACCUCCCCGCCCAGCUCUAUCAGCAGGCCCUUUCUUUUACCACGCGUAGAAAAUGUAACAUAGAGCCAUACCGGCCAACCCCUCUCUCCAUUUCGAAAAUUGGACAUCAAAUGCCUUGCGCUCACAGCCCUUUCUUCAUGUUAAAGUGAAUCAUGGAAGCAGCCCGAGGUGGGAAUGAAUCCUUCUUAUGUGCUUUCACACCGGCAGCCGAAGUCGAGCAUACAUACGACGAUCUUCAUGCAUGAAUAGCCGGAAGGAAAGAAAGGGUGGUAGAUGAUAAUGAGAAAGGGCACCGCGUCUGGACGGGCGGAAUGGAUGAGCGAAAGGUUAGUGACGGGAACUUAGCUAUCUUUUGGUCAGGUUUUCCGGGGUUGGUUCCUCUACUAGAAUAGGUCCCAAAUGCCUCACUUCUCUUACUUUUGGUGCUUAUCUUCAGUUAGAAGAUGGUCACCUGCCCUAAGCAAGAUCAAAAAAUCAGCAGGCCAUUCACGCAUCUUCCGUAGAGUACCAGCGCCAGCCCGCACUCAAUUCAAUGAUCAAGCCAAUAAGUCUCUUUCUAUACAAGGACUCAAGCACAUAUAGGCAGGCGACGACCUUUUUUUUUCAUCCCUGAGUCUGUUGAUCAACAAUUCUCAUUUCUUAGUUACAGAAAGCCCUUCUCAGUAAGCCAAGAGCCACUCAUCUAAGCCAGCGGAUUCGAAUUCAGCUGUGCCAGUGCACAAAACAAGCACGCUUAGACUGUGAUGUGCAAUCAUGAGUACAAUUUGACACUUUGAACGAGCAUAAAGGUUUGGAACUCUUUUCUUAUCUGAAUCCUAAGGACAGGACCCUACCCUAUUCUCGAACCCUCUGCCGAGCUCUACUCUGCCCGCAUUUCCUUGUGCUUUGAAGAGGAAAAAAAAAUCUCUCUACCUGCUGCCAACAGUCUUUCUUCGGAAUUAUCUGAAUGGGUAGAUCCUCCCAUCCCCUUUGUUUUAGCAACUUAUCCUAAGGUCUCCUCGCCAAGAGCUCCCCGACGACGAUAGAGGAAGCAACCCGUCUGCUGUGGUGGGGCGACUUUUUUCUUUCACAAUAAGACCUGGGCCAUAGUGAGUUCAUCACCAGUGGCAUAAGCAGAGGAGGCAUAUGGGGUAGGGAGAAAGGCAAUUUACCUCGAUUCUUACAAUUCUAGUUAAACCCACAACAAAGCCAGCGUUGCUUUCGUGGGAUCAACUGCUCGUUUUUGAUUAUCCAGUUCUAUAUCAACUAGUUUUAAAAGUUCUUCCAUUUAGUAAUGGAAGUCAUUCGUUGUCACUUUCGUUGGGUAUGGUAGAGAGGCUUGAGAAGGUGGACAAUCCUUCAGUGAAGACGUAACGAGCAAAGAAGCACUUCUUGUAACCAAAACAAAAACCCCAUGGAUCCGAAAUUAUUCUGGACCACGCCGCUAGAUUGAGACUGCCACCUUCCUAUUUGAGUAAGGAAUGAAUAUCAAACCCUACUGAUAUUCAACCGACAACCGGGCCUAGUGGUGCUUGCAGCUUUUCCUAUUUCGGCUUGGAUUGAAAAUACUGGAUAGGAAAGGAAAACAAACUAUCCCAUCACAAGCGGUACACUGAACACCAACCCAAUCUCAAAAAAUAAAGAGAAGUACAAGCAAGGACAUUUUCUCGAUCAAGAAGGUAUUGAACUUCUCGACGCACCUCUAUCAAUUCCUUCUUUGCCGGGCCUACCCCCCAACCUAGAGUAGCGAGGUGGGAAAGUAAAAUCAAUCCUUGUUCAUACAUAGGCUUCUCGGAUACAAAAUAGGCUACUUCAAAUAGGUUCAUUGCUCCGGCCCAGAUGUCGAGGACUUGAAUAAAUUUUAUUAGAUAUGAAUUCGAACUUUUUGGUAUUCACGACCGAGAAAGAAAGGUUCCGCGUUCGAACAUUGGUUGAUCUUAGCUUAGCGUGCUAGCCGCUGCUUCAUUUCGCACGUUGACUCAAUAAUGAUUCCACUACUUUCAUGGCUAUGUAUGCAUCCUUCUGAUGAAUAAAGUUAGCGCAUACUGAGGAUUGAGUCUGUCGCUUAUCCCUAUUCAUAGUAGGUACUCUUAGAAGAAAUAAUAUAGUAAUAUAGUAAAGGACAAAAGAAAGAGAUUCAUUUUGAUAUGCGGAUUACCGCUUCUGAGCUUCGAUGACCGGGAGGGCUUGAUAAGCAUGAGUGAAGAAGGGUCUUAUGUUACCAUUUUUGGUGGUAAAGAAGAUGUUCUUGUUCUUUCAUUCCCCAAACCCACUUCAGCUUUCGACGAUUGGGUUGAUAUUCUGAUAGGCGAGAGGUGUGAAGCCAGAUCGUACUAAAGACAAUGAAAAAGUUUCGAAAAUGAUAGAUUUCCAAAAAAUAAGUAAAAGAAGAAUGAAAGAUAGUCCUAUAUUGACAAGGAUGAGCUUUUUCACGAAGAAAGCUUCGUGCCCAACUGCUUGUAUAUCGAUCGGAAAGAAGCAGCUGCAAAUGCUAUCAGUGGUUCUUCCUCUCUGCUUAGUGACUCAAUCUCUCUUUCUUUUGAAGCUCGUGCAAAGCGGUAACUAUCUGAAGGCCUCGCACCGGCGCUAGUUGAACCUUCUUCGGUCUCUUUCAGCGGCGAUACCUGCCCGAUGCUGGAAGGUCGGAAGGAGAAGUGUUACAAGCGUUGAAUAGAAGCCUCGUAAACGGCAGCAGUAACUCUAACUGUCUAAAGUAAGUUUCACAGAAGAAAGGCUGGUUUGUCAAUGCUUUAGGUAAAGUGUAAGUGGCUUGAGCCUACCUAAGCUUGAUGAAGGGCAGAUGGACCUGGCGUUGAGUGCCCUUUCCGCUCAUCUUCCUAUAAAAGCGGCUGAGGAUUUGACUUGACUUAAUCAUAUUGGGACUAAUGAUCCCUCUCUCUCCUUUUUUGCUAAUUGAAUAGAUUUUUUUCUUUAGUGGUUUUGCCCAAUAUGCUAUUCGAAAAAAAGGAGAAUGGCUCGGCUAUCCCACCUAGCCAAGCCAGAAAAAUAGAUUUGAUAUAAAGUUGCAUAAAGCCCCAAUUCAAAUUAUUAAGAAUUCAAACAAUACAAAGCACAGAAGAACGAAAACCACAAAUGCAAACAACAGUAACAAGUACAGACAUAAAAGUGCAAGAUGAUCCAUACACGCUCGACCGCGAAAAGGAGAAAACGGCCUUAAUCUCCACUAUUUCUGAUUAAGAACAAUAUAUUUUUCUCCUUUCCUUGCCCUUCUUGAUGAUGUGCAGCACACCAACCUACGCUCUUUUUCUCAUUAACCAAGAACCAUAUACCAUACCACGACCUCAUUACGAACAAAAAAGUGGAAUGAAAUCCCAGUUAUACACUCCCUUCAUUCUACGAACCCUUGUUGAUUCUGAACUUCAUUCGCGAAGGACCGGACUUUUGACAGGACAACCCUUUUUUAUACGCCGCUUUACCCUAAAAGAAAAAUGAGCUUUGCUCCUCUGGGCGCUAGGUGCUCCCAUGGUUUGCGAGAAGGAAAAAGGAUGUUGCAUCUGGCACGAGAUGAUAAAGAGAGAGCUUCGUCUAUUGAUGAACAGCGGAUUAACGGAGCUCUUGGCAUUGCUUUGUUUUUAUCCCCUUUCCUAUCAGCGAGUUCUAACCCUUUUGUUCAAAAUUUCUUUAUUUGUACUGAAAUGAACUUGACCAAGAGGGCGGAACCCCGUUAGUAAAAGACCGGAGAGAACUCCGCUUUUUGGAUCAACUUUUACAUGAUCUCCGAAAAAAUGGAAUAAACUCCGUCUAUUCAAUAUUCCAUUUGGGUGCCCAGUGAGAAAGGCCCUGACCCUGCCAACCAAGUAUCAAAAAGAAAAAAGAGAAAGAAAGAAGAAGAGAACUUCGUAUUUGUCUCACUCUCAGAGGUGGCCCUUGAGUUCAGUUGCUUUUGGUUUAAUAUGGUAUCGAUAGCAAUAGCCAUUUUCCAGUUUGUCGGUCCCCGAUUAUAAGUUCUCAUUGACCAUGACCUAUAGGAACCAGGCUAUCUACCACUUUUAAACCUGUUCUCACAAUGAUUGAUGAGGAGAUAAGGGGCGAAGGAUAUUCAUGAUAUUCGGAAAGAUUUCUAUUCAUUCGCUCUGCGAGCAGAGCGGUAUACCGAAAAAAAGAAGCGGCUACUUUACUUAAGCAAUUCUUCUUAUUCUUCUUCUUUCUUAGUUGAAGUUCCCUUUCUCCGGCAGCUAGUUCAAUGGUUUCUAAGCUGGAUGACUGGUAUUCUCUGGAUGGACGGUAAAUCCAGGUAUGCUGCUGGUCUUUAGAAGGACCAAGGGAAUCCUGGUCUUCUCUCCUAACGAAUUUCCCCUUUUCUACUCUCUUUCGCUACCUGGAGCCCGCUCAUUUGGUAUACGCGGUCAAAUCGGCUCUCCUGCCUGUGUAUCCCAUGCCCGGUGCCGUUGAUCUAUCUGAUGGGAGAGAUCCGCAGGUAGUACCCAAAGACUGACUUUCAAAAGGCAGCUAUCUUAAUCACGACGGGAUCCUCUCGACCAUACAAAAUGAGUUAAUAGAGAGAGGAAAUCUAGUCGCGCGAUAAGAAAUCCAGUGUUUCACUAAGAUUUCGAAUAGCGGUCCCGAAUUCAAGUUGAUUCUAUUUUGACUUUUCCUCAGAGAAAGACGAUCAAACAAUUCCCAAUCAUCGUCCUUGCGGAUCGAAUAAUCCAUAUAAUAUACAAAAAGAAACUCCAGAUAUUUGAGAUCUUUCUCUUUGAAUAAGAUCUUAAUUCCAGCGACGGUUUCAUUAGAUAUCUUACAACUAGAAUCCCUCUUUUUUCUGAUCCAGUUCCUCCACCAACAUGAACCCCAGUUAGAUUCAGGUAUGCUACACUUUUUAGUAAUUGAGAGAACCGGAUUGUUGUGGAACUAGAUCCUCUGCUAGAGUCAGAGUUGUUGUGUAGCCAGGUUCACCUGCCCAAUGCCAAUGAUACGAAGAGCUAGCUUUGCUACCCCUGGCUCAAAAAUGCCAAAUCUCGUCUGAAUCAUCACUUGUCAGGACUUUUUGGCACAAGUUCCUUGGCUUGGACAGGGCAUUUAGUCCAUGUUACUAUUCCUGCAUCCAGAGGGGAGUACAUUUGGUGGAAUAAUUUCUUAGAUGUAUUACCGCAUCCCCAAGGGUUAGGCCCACUUUUUACAGGUCAAUGGAAUCUUUAUGCUCAAAACCCCAAUUCAAGUAGUCAUUUAUUUAGUACCGCCCAAGGGGCGAGAACUGCCAUUCUAACUCUUCUCGGGGGAUUCCAUCCACAAACGCAAAGUUUAUGGUUGACUGAUAUUGCCCAUCACCAUUUAGCUAUUGUAUUUAUUUUUCUCGUUGCUGGUCAUAUGUAUAGAACCAAUUUUGGGAUUGGGCACAGUAUGAAAAAAACCUUUGGCUUCGGACUUCUGCUUUGAUAGAUCUUUCCUCUCAAAAUAGGUUUUACCUAACCCACUAUGUCCAUUGUUUAAUACCCAUUUUCAGGAGCGGGAAUCGUCAAAUUAAAAACGCUUUCUUCUGCACUCGCCACUUCUUUCGCUGACCCUAUCCACCUCCUUUGCGAAAUACCAGAAAAAGAGAUGAAUUAGUGGAUCAUAGGGCUAAGUCGAAGCAUGCCUGAACCUUCUUCGUCGAAGACUGAGUUAAUAUACAAUCCCACUUUGGAUACUUCCCUUCGGGAUAGGUAGGAUAUGGUGGCACAAAUUAUAGUCUACUCGGCAUGCGUCGAUUUUUUGCUGGAGAAGCCUAGAUCACUAGUUUUGGACUAUUGAGAAACCCCCCUCUGCCCGCAUCCCUGGAACUUACUUUAUUUUUUUGCUUUCAAGACCCUACCUGCUUCACACCUUUUAUGAUAGGGGAAAUACUUCCACAUGAGUACUAAUUUGAUUAGCAUAAAUGAGCCUCUUCGGAGCCCUUAAGAUUUUACAUAUCAGCUUCAGAACAUUCAAUUGGAUCAUUCUUGGCGCAAAAGAAUGAGGAAGCAAAGGUAGAGUGUGGUCUGGAACUCCAACACUUGGGUUGAACAAAAAAGGCUCAAUCUUUCACUAUUUAGGAGUAAGGGAAAGCAAAUGCGAUCGUCAUAAAACGCCCUGGAAUUCCAUUCUGUAGGGAAGGAGGGCACUUAGAGAAGUCCCUUGGCCGGACAAAGCGCAUCUUCUUUUGCUCAUUUUUCAGGGCCUUGCCUUGUUGGCCUACCAAAUAAACAGGCUUUUUUUUAUUGAUUCCCUUAGGGGUCAUUAACUAAAGACCUUGAAGUCAUGACCCAUAAGCUAGCUGAGGAAAGUGAUAUCGCGCGUAGACAUCAAGUCGUAGUGCACGAACCAGCAACCCCUCUUUAUGAUGCUUUCCACUCUUUCGAGAGGAUUCAGUUAUUGAGUCGGUGAGCUGAUCUCGCCUUUUAUCUGGACAUUAUGAGUUCUCCCGAUCAUGACGACGAAGUAAGUGAAGGGUAGCACUGAACUAGCAAAGAGAAUGAAUGAGAUUAUGGGGCUCCGGUUCCAUCGAUUUUGACUUCAUUUUACUUAAUAGAAAGAGGUUGCAAAAAAGGAAGAGAAUGGAUCCACUCAAAAAACUUUGUUCGGAAUCUAACUCAGAGAGGCAGUGUUGAGUCCAUGCAGACUCUAAAUUCGUCUAGCGCUUCAAACCAAGGUCCAAGGGGCUACCGCAGGAAGUAAGCUUCACCUGUAACCUUAAGGAAUGCAGAAAGCUACCUAGAAUUCCUAGCAAGGACUUUGCCUGCUAUUCAUUCCUAAAUCCCUUUCACCCAACACUAGCUAACUCGAUAGGACGUCAACAGCGGGAAUGUCAAAAUCAAGACCUGGACCUGGUCCACGCAGUCAACCAGCAAAGACCUCUUUCUCUUCGUGACUUGAAGGACACGAUUCGUCAGCUCGAUAGAAUUGUUUAGAAUCCUCUCCUAGCUUCCUCUUUCUAUAGAUAUGAAGACUAUAAAAUGUCGAUCAGAGAGCAGGGUUGUUCUAAGAUAUAGAAGUAGUUAUGGGCUUGACUAAGUAGUAGAUAUGGGAUUGAGGGGCGGAGACUAAUUCAUUCUGGCUAAUGAAGAUACUACUCCAGUCUUUCCAGUGGAUCCUUCCCUAAGAAUGGAACGAACCAAGUGUUCGGGCCCUUCUCACCUCCUACGAGUCGUCCGGCGGAAAAGACUUUCUCAAACCAAAAAUUACCUAAGCCUACAUAGGGUAUAAAAUCCGAUUUCUCUCUUUUAGUGUGGGGGCAUUAGUAAAAGGCCUAAGCGGUCUUAGCUCCUUCUCUGGUCUUGCUGCCCUUGCCCCUCUUCUCUUUUCUCUUCUUUUAGAAGCUGUCUGUGAUCGGAACUUCUUUCGCUUUGAACGACUCUGGUCUUUUUGAAUCUGUUAAAUGGCUAGUCGAAGGUAAAGGAAAUGAAAAAAAAAGUAACCAGGAACGAGAAUACAGAGUCGGCAUUACAAGGAUAGAUGAGAUUAAAGGCGAAGACAAGGCUACUGUUUAGAUGGUGUAAGAACGACAUUUGUCGUCUUAUCCUUGUCUUUAUACACAAACAUUUUACCACAAUCUCCGAUCCUUCAUUGGAGAGAUCCAUAGCCGGACCACUCUUCAUAGACAGGAUUCCUAGUUGGAACCCAUGCGCCCCCCACCGAGACCGAUUCGUUCGAUCCGACGGGAGAAACAGGGCUCGAAGAACGAGCCGAGCCGUGUAAGGACGCAGGGAUAUAGCAAGUAAGCAGAAAGGUUCUCCCCUUAGGACCGACUACAAUAAGCUCGCGACUCUAAUAGAAAGAAGCGAGGUGCAAGUGCUGCAUAAAGUUCUGUUAUCCGUUUUCAAGCCUUUCUUUGAGCAGAGCGCUUUCUUUUCGAUCAUUGGCAAGCGCAGAUGGGCUUUCAUACCUGCUUAUGUUGUGGGUGGGAUGAAGGCAUCUAUCUUAUUAUAUGGAAGAUGAUUGUUAGAUGGUUAGUGGCUAGAACAAAAUAAGGGGCGUUGUAUGGAGGUUUCCAAGUAGAGGUGCGAAGCAAUUGAGAUGCAUAUAGAAUAGAAGGUAGGGUUCCAAACCUCGCGGCAGGUUACCAGAGAAGGGGGGACAACUCCUUUCUCCUUUGCUUGCUCAAUCUUCCUUUUAUAAUUGAAAGUAGCAAGCCACUCUACUAUUGGUACAGAGGCCAGAUAAAAGGUUGCUCAUCCAGCCCAACAGAUCCAUUGUUUAUGCGGCAGUGCAAUGCAGCUGAAAAAGGGAAGCCCCUUUUUAUUAGUAAGGUAUAGGUUGGUUGGGGAAAACUCCUGUGAUAUGAGUUACUACCCCUUGAUCACUAACGGCUGACCAAGCCAAUAAUGCUUAGCUGGUCUUUUCGGAUGAUCAGCCACACUGGGACUGAGACACGGCUCGGACUCCCACAGGGGGCAGCAGUGGGGAAUCUUGGACAAUGGGCAAAAGCCUGAACCAGCAAUAUCGCGUGAGCCACUUUGUUCUCAACUCUUCUUAUCUCCUGGGCGAGACAAGUUACAUUUAGCUAAGAGCCUAUUUUCCUUCUGCCCAGCUCCCCGAAAACAACGUUCGACUUGCAUGUGUUAAGCAUAUAGCUAGCGAUCCUUCUGAGCCAGGAUCAACCUCUAUCUACCCGGUAAGAUCUAUUGAAUGAGAUCCUGGAGACAGGGAUUUGAGGUAUGAGUUGAUCAGAUGCAGGGAAGCCCAGGCAAUCCGUUCCUAUCAGUCAUUCGUCAGGAAGCAGUAGAGAAAGAAUCAGAUUCUCAAAUCUCAUUGUUGAAGGCGUAGAGAGGAAAUAAAAGAAAGAAGAGCGAAUCUCUACAUGCAAUUCGCUCACUUCGGGAAGAGCAGACAAAAAGAGAAGGCCUUCGUCCUAUCUGCUUCUUUCUCUUCCCAGGAAUGAAGAAUUUUUGAAAAAAAAAAGAUUUUCUAAAAAAAGGAUCUGAAAAUCUAAGAUCACUUCCUUUCUUUAAAUCCAACAGUGGAGAUUGAUACAAAGGUGGGGAAUGGGUCAGGCCAACUUGAAAUGGACCAAUUCGAGAAAAGGGUCAAGAUAUGGUGCGGUCAGAUUCUUUCUCUUUAAAGUUACGAUUAUUCGAAGUUCAAUUUGAUCCGGGUAAGAAGACCUAAAGGCAGCCAAAAGGUUCUUGGGCUAUGCUGAAGAGAAGAAUAUGGAGGAUUGAUCCUAUUCACUGCUAAUCAUGUAGUUUUCUUUCAAUGAUAAGCAUAUAGAAACCUAGCGCUUUUUAGCUUUCUUCAGGAAUACCCCCGUUAGCCAGCUUUUGUAGCAAAUUCUAUUUGUUCUUCACCGCUUUGGGUUGUGGGGCUUACUUCCUAGCCCCAAUGGGAGUAGUGACUAGCGUUAUAGGUUGUUGGGCGGUCGGAAGGUUGCCACGAGUAAGUAAGAAAGAGGGACCGAAGUCAGUUCUCCGUGCACCGGACACGUAGCUUACCGAAUCCGUUGCGACACAGAUGGAAAUGCAUGCUAUGAAAGAUAGGGUCGAGUCUGAUACAUCAACCGUCUACUCAAUAUCCUUGUACGAGUCCACAAUGGCUACACGAGAUGAACCUUGGUUUGGUGAAUUAAAGUUGGCCUUAGGUGUAAUAGGACUCCCAGUUACUGUGCGCGAUCGUAUACUGAGGUGCUCCCCGCCGGUUGUUGGAAUGACACGAGUCGGGCCGGGUCUCGAUUCAGAAAGAUGAAGGGCUUUAACUACUACGAUCUAUAGAUUUCCCAUCUAUAUCCAAUCCCAACGAGAAUAGAAGCGAGUCGCUUCCGACUUUCGUCGUCCAGUAGCGACGACUGUCUUUUCGAUUGGAACCGCAGUCGCCCUUUGGUUGGGCAUUGGUGCAACAUUACCUAUUGAUAAAUCCUACGAAGAUAGGCAUAAAGGCAUGAUUAGUUCCACAAAUCUCACUGCACUGACCAUAGUAAAAUCCUUCUCGUUGUACCAAAAUAGAGGUCUGAUUUAUACAACAUGGAUUCUGGCAAUGUAGUUGGACUCUCAUGACGAUCCGAAUGAAUCAUCCUUUCCACGGAGGUAAAUCUUUGCCUGCUAGGCAAGAGGAUAGCAAGUUCCAUAUUCUAUCUUGGGUAAAAUGCCCGCCCGUAACCCAGCAGAUAAAGUACAUUACAUAGUCCAGGGAUUGGCGAGACCUACCCUUGUGCGAGUGACUGAUGGGGAGAAGCGAUGGCUCAGGGAGGGAAGGCGCAGUGCAGACUUGGUUAAUCAGGUCUGGAUUUUUUGCAUCGUUUCAGUCAUCGUGGUCGACGGGGAAGAAAGAAAUGAAUGAAUGUUCUUUUGGGAAAAUGUAUAAUAAUACACCUACCGAGACGAAAGCCAAAGGUAAGUCUCAUAGGUGGACGUAUCGAACUGAAAUAAGAUCUCAGAUUGACAUCUUGAUACAAAACUAUCUUUUCUGUAUACUUUCCCUGGUUCCGUUACUACCGCGGGCUUUACGCAAUUGAUCGGAUUAGAUAGAUAUCCCUUCAACAUAGGUCAUUGAAAGGGUCUCGAAGACCCACCAAAGUACGAAAGCCAUAGACUCUUCAUUUCUUUGUCUUAUUAGCGCAGGUGUUCGUCAACGAUAAAAGUCGCUAAACUUCAAACUUGAGUGGAGAAAGAGGGCUAGGCCCCCGAAGGACUUUCAAGGACUGGGGAAGACGGGUGGAUUAUAGAGCUAGGGUAGGGGCAAAUCGAAGGCCCAUCGGGAUUGGGCAUGAACAAGCCUCGACAGUGCCAGCAUUGAUGAAAAAAGAAAAACUUCCCCCAUCGCAUCAUUAACCGGUGUAGGAUUCAAGAUCAGGUCCAGGAUUCGAGUCAAAUCGACCUUCCCUCUCAUCUCAGGGUGAGGCAAAGAAUUGUUUCAAAUAUUUGUUGUUCAAUAUCUCGGCUGCUCAAGAAGUUUGACUAGUUGCUCCUCCGACCCGGAGUGGAUUCUAGGGGAAGGGCAGAGCCUCACCUUGCAGUAGGAAGGUGAUUGUUGUUGGGACGGGUUCAAAUUGGACUGAAGGGAGAAUUAUUUGCUUGACCUCCGCCUUUUUCUACUUGCACGGAUGCCUUCCCUUCCUUAGAGGAUCUGUUUGGGAAGUAAGAAGCCCCUUUGAUAUCUCUUCAUCUGCAAAUAAUUCUCGAUGUGAAAACACAGAGCCAGGGGGCUAGUCUUUGGAUAGGGAAAAGAGUGGAUCUUUAGGGUCCCAAAUGAAUUGGCUUAUUAAAAAAAGGCCUUGUUCUUUGAAAGAUCUAUCUCGUGUCUGGUACUGCAUGGUUCCACUCUACAAGAACCCCGAAUCAUUCUCUUGAAGCUCAUCCUCUUCAUCAUAAAUGAUUCGCUUGUCCAGACGAGUCGACUGACUCUUAGUUGUUUCCGCCGCAGAUACGGAAGGCCAUUCUAACUAUAAGGUCCUCCCUUUCUCGGAUGAGGGUCCUCUCCUCUUCUUCCAAAGUGCGGAUUUGGUUUAGGAGCUGUUAAAUGCGUAGUUCCACCAGCACCGGAAAAAGAGUGGGCACGUUUUCUAAAAAGGCCUGUAGAGUUUGCCGCCGUUAGCGCUUUUGGUUUUCCACAUGGAGAAUUCUUUGAUUCAUUUGAAAAGGUCUUUAAGUGGUGGCUGGAUCCAUCUCUCCCUUUUCUUUGCCAAAUAGAGAAAAUGGCUUCUAUUUAUAGACGUUGGAAGCCCUUUCUCUUUCUUAUUAUAUUAUUUGUAACCCUAUUUUUAUUAGGUUGUCUUGGUUCCAUAACAUGGUUUAAACCUGGUUUUUCAUGAAUUUGGAACCCCACCGAGUUAUCGCUGCAAACCCCAAGAUAGUAUUAUGGCACUCUCAGUCAGUUUUCCCACGUCCAGUAGACUUUCUUUCUACAACCGUAUAUUGAACUAAUAGAAUAGUGAAAGGUUAUUAGAAUAGGCUGAGAAAAGGGCUAAGAGGGAACCAUAGGAUAUUACUUGACCUAAAGGGGCCUAGGGCACCAAGCCUACCAGUUCUUCUUUCAAGCUCAAAAUAAGAAAGAAUAUAGGAAUUGCCUACCACGCUUUGCGCCUGCUGCAUUUUCGCCAGACGGUCUUUGCCAGUAGUGCCAUCCUCAGGAUCUGGGAUUGAUUGUGGAACCGAGCAUAGAGAAUCGGGGGCGGGCAGGAAGAUAGGCUAGGCGGAGUAGUCGCUCUGGAGCAGUUUCUUCAACUGGAUCAAUGCAUGUAUGAACCCUAAAAAAAUCCCGAAGGUCUAGUCUAAAAAAAACCCGGAUUUUGUUGGGUUAGCUUUUUGGUAGGAAAGGCGGUCACAGGAAGAAAUACCCUACCAAUGAAUAGAUUAGUCUACUAACGUCAACAAUCUCUUUCUUCAUAUACGAGAUCGUCUGCUUUUAUAUCCUAAACUAUAGAUAUGAAAGAAAAAAGAAAGAUCAUCUUCUUAUCCGCCGACCUAUUCAAUUCUGGAAUCAGACCUGCUAUUAAUGUGGGUAUCUCCCUUUCCAUAGUGGGGUCCGCAGCUCAAAUAAAAUCCUCAAUGUCGUGCCAGCUGAGGGUUGUCAUAGUGGUGUGCGUAAUGUGAUCGAGAUUAGCGUAUUGUUUUUUAUACCAGUCAAGAGUAACCAAUGUUUUAGUCAACCCUUUAUGUUUAAUGAUAUCAGUGUGUCCCUCUUCAAAGAGACAAUAAUUCUUAGCAGCGAAACAGAGGAUUUGCCAACAUCGAAAGCAAUCAGACUUGGUUUGGAAAUCUUCGCGCUUGGGAAGCCGAGAAAGCGGCGUGUACGGUACGGGUUUUGGUAGUGAAACAAUUGAUCUAGUAAGCUUAGGUUAGUGGAGUGGUAAGUUUAUUUCGACAGGUUUCAAAGCUUCAGGGGGUGUUCACCUUUGGAAACUUAGCUACUUAAGUCCUUCUUAGAAAGUCAAAGUAAGGGCGAACGGCAUUCUGUUCUACAGCUACAACAUAACAUAGAGUGUAUUAAUAUGUAUUAUUGUAUUAAUAUUAAACAUCUUAAUAGUAGAACUACUUUCGUACGCUCGCGCCUGAUUAGCUAGUUCGUGAGGCAAUAGCUUACCAAGGCGAUGAUCAGUAGCUGGUCCGCGGCCGUUAGGUCACCUAUUUUGAUUUAUGGACACACAAGGCCAAAACAUGUGUGCCGGGCACGUGACGCCUGAAGAUGGCACAGAAAGACAAAAAGAGCAAAAUCGAUAUAAGAUAAGACUGGAUGGAAUCCUUCUAGUAGUAUCGGCCAUUUACCCUACUUCCCUCCAGAUUUCAUCAAGUGUUCAUGCUAUAGACAUAAACAGUUAUGGAUAAUUAAAUUAUGAGAUCCUUACGAAUGAGCCUUCCAGUAACAACGAAUUCAGUGCUUUCUCAUGUCCCUUCCAGUAGUAGUAGGUUCCAUGUGACUUUAGGAAGUAAUAGCUAACAACUUUUAGAUUGAAUUCAUGCUGAAAAAUUAUUAUUCUAGUCAAUAUAUUUUAUUGUUUAGGGGGAAUUACGCUUACUUGUUUUUUAGUACAAGUAGCUACUGGGUUUGCUAUGACUUUUUACUAUCGUCCGACCCUUACUGAGGCUUUUGCUUCUGUUCAAUACAUAAUGACUGAAGCCAACUUUGGUUGGUUAAUCCGAUCAGUUCAUCGAUGGUCGGCAAGUAUGAUGGUGGCGGGCUCUUGGGUCGUCUGGACCCAUAUCUGGAAAAAGUGGUGGCCUGGUUAUUCCCACACCCCCUUAUCAUACGUGUCUUUAGGAGCAUCACCCGCCAUUAAUUUAUCAAGACCGUAAAUACGAGCAAUGCCAUCGCCUGCUCCUCCAGUAGACAUUGAUGGUAUUCGUGAACCCAUUUCAGGGUCUCUACUUUACGGAAACAAUAUUAUUUCCGGUGCCAUUAUUCCUACUUCUGCAGCUAUAGGUUUACAUUUUUAAAGCAUUUUGAAACUCUAAUUUAUUUUAUCCUGGGAGUUUUGUUUUGAUAUAAACAUUUUCUAAAUGAUUUCGGAACAUUACUCAUAGGAAUAACCUAUUUUUAUAUAUGUUUUCUAAAAAAUAACAAAGGGAGAUCCUAUAAGAGAGCUUACAGAACAGGCACUACAUUUCAAAUAUAACUAACAAUUGGCUAAAAUAAACUCAUUCUUAUUCUUCUCUCCUGUUCCUUCAAUUUUCUCCCUGUGCUCCUCUUAUUAUUCCUCCUGUUGAGUUGUCUUCACUUCCAUUACCUCGCUGUUUUAAUGUCAUUUCUCUCGCAAGAGAGUUCUGCUCUUCCCGUAGGGCUUUGAGUCUGAGCUUUGCUUCCCUGAGUGGAGUGUCUGUUGGAAGUUUUUUCCAGAACCUAUCCUAGUUGUCAUCAAGGCAGGGCCGCUAUAAAGCCUACCGGCCGGCUAGAAAGUCCUUAAGAAUGAGAAAGCCGACUAAAAGGCUAUUCCAUAACCGACUCUUGUUGCCGAGUCGAGGGGGCGUUCAGCCACUGUAAAGAGAGGGGGCUUGGCUGGUACCAGCCUCUAAAAGAGUUUUCUUCGAGCGAGCGGUCUUUCUAUCUUUUUGGGUUGCAUGCCCAAGGCAAUGCUUUUUGUAGAUUGAGAUGGAUUGAUCUUUGCUAUCGUGCCUCCUCCUUGUACCAGUUAAUACUAGGGCAGUGCUUAAUAUGAGUUUUCUCCUGCCCCAAACAGCUUUCGAGGUUCCCAUCGAUUACAGAGGUUUCUACCACUGAACUUGCUUAUGCUCCCCUUUGAUCGAGUUCUAUUUCUAUAAAUAAGAUUGAGUAGAAAAAUGUUGAAUUGGCUUCAAUCGAGAUUGCCGCAGCUUCUUAGGCACAUGAGGAACCGGCCUAACAUCUUUUCAAUCAAAAUCCCAAACAAAGACAAGUUCUACCAAGGCCUGUACUUCUACCUAUUAUAGCACUGGCAGCCGAAGUCGAGCAUACAUAUGACGAUCUUUAUGUGUGAAUAGUCGGGAGGAAAGAAAGGGCGGUAGAUGAUAAUAAGAAAGGGCGCUGCGUCUGGACGGGCAGAAUGGAUAAGCGAAAGGUGUCAUGCCAUGGAGUGGGGAAUAGCCCUCGUCUCAUGUAAGACAACUAAAUGCACCUCGAGGCCGAGGAACUGAGGGACCUUCUCGAGCACAGGAUAGGUAAUUGAGAGAUAGAGCUAGCCUAUUCGUUAUGGGAAAUCAAUGCUCCGCAGCUUAGCUGAGUAGCAACUCUCUUUCUGCCGGCCGGCGUGGCGCUGUGCGGUAGCAUUCGUGGUGGUGCUUCAGGAUUCCAAUGUACUUCGUCCAAGAUCAGAACGAGCUUGCCGGCGGACCACUGCCGUCCCAUUCUUGAGUGAGCUGGAGUGCAGCCAUCUUAUCCCCUGAACUAGCUAGAAGCUAUCGCUUCGGGGUGAAGCACUAAAAGAAAAGGACCGGGAAACGCGGCGAAACUCAUUGCCCAUGGAUAAAGAAAAACCAUUUCAACAUCAAAAACAACAAAAACUAGAGCAAACAUAUAAUAACAGAUUUGAAAUUGUAACCAAGCAUCAGUGCAUUUUAUAACUCUAGCACUCUCGUCAUGAGACGUAGAAGCAAAAAAAAAAAAGCCUAGGCUGAUCAUCCAAACACCCAUUGAUUCAGAUCCUUAUCGGGUACGAUAACAUAACUGUUCCCUGUGAGGGGUCAGGUGUAGUUCAAAUGUCAUUUAGUAUGCUACCUGUCAUAGCUCUGACAGGGUGGCGAUGCUUCUGGUGGGUGUGGAAAUUGGAAGUCUCAUGUUGUUCAUCAGCACUAUGGCAUGAUCGGAUUGUACCAGUGACAAGUGUUUCGGUGGUUAGUUUUACAUUAGGAUCCUCUCAGCUAUCUAAGUGCCACUCGUUGGAGUGUGGUACUUGCUUGACAGCUGGGAUCUUUCCUAGGUGAUGGCUGGGACUGCGUUUUCUUUGGGGAAGCAGGUUUCCAUCUGAAUUGGAGGAGGCCUAUAUAAAGAAAUUCUUUACAGUCUACUUUGUUGUCCUUGAAUCUUCUUUCUUGAGUUUGACUGAUAAAAGACUUUACUAAGCAAGCUGUCUGUCGGUCCCCAUUGGUUAAUUGUGUCAACAGAGGCAAGGAGUACCACUGGACUAUCCCACUAGCGAUCCUACUUCAAUGCAGGUGUUCGUCAAUGAUGAAAGCCGCUGAACUUUAGACUCGAGUGGAGAAAGAGGGCUAGGCCCCCGAAGGGCUUUCAGGGACUGGGGAAGACGAGUGGCUUACCAAAGACAACAAUCCCUACAUUCUCAUUGAAAAGGUCAGUGACUUAAAGGAGUGAAGAGAGCAUUAUCCGUCGAUUCCGAAGGAACUAGAGUUACAUCUCUUUUCCAUUCAAGAGUUUUUAUGCGUUUCCACGCCCCUUUGAGACCCCAAAAAAAUGGAGAAAUUCCGGCCCUUUUACCAAGUCUACCAGAUAGAAGAUGAUAGAGGGCCAACUAUCGUUGCCUUGCACAAGACGGUGCCCUUUCACUUCGAGUUCCUUCCUUCGUAGUCAAAUCUGAUGAUACGCUUUGGCGAUAUUACCUACCAAAUAAAAGGCCUGCUAGGUGAUCAAAAUCGUAAAAUAAAAUAUAUGCAAUAGAAAAUUCGAUCAAAAUAAAAGUCUCAUUUCUCUUUCUGCUUUUUGAUUUUAUGUUUACCGCCUUGCUGGACUAAAAAAAGAAGCUUUAGAGGAAUUUUUAUGUUAUAAUUUUAGUGGUUUUUAUGAUUUUAGUGGUUUUGACGACCCUAUCUUAUCCUAUCUUAAUUACCACAAUUCCCCUAUUCGACAAAAGUUGCAUUUGUAUACAAUAAUCGGAUUGUAGCGGGUAUAGUUUAGUGGUAAAAGUGUGAUUCGUUCUAUUAUCCCUUAAAUAGUUAAAGGGUCCUUCGGUUUGAUUCAUAUUCCGAUCAAAAACUUUAUUUCUUAAAAGGAUUAAAUCCUUUUCCUCUCAAUGACAGAUUCGAGAACAAAUACACAUUCUCGUGAUUGGUAUCCAAAGGUCACUUAGACAUUGAAAAAUUGGAUUAUGAAAUUGCGAAACAUAAUUUUUGAAUUGGAUCAAUACUUCCAAUUGAAUAAGUAUCAAUAAAGGAUCCAUGGAUAAAGAUAGAAAGUUGAUUUCUAAUCGUAACUAAAUCUUCU